rnacentral:rRNA from 1 species
UACGUAGGAGGCGAGCGUUGUCCGGAAUUCCUGGGCGUAAAGAGCGCGUAGGCGGCGCGAUCCGACCGAUGUGAAAGCCCCCGGCUCAACUGGGGAGGGUCAUCGGUAACGGUCGUGCUAUGAGUGCAGGAGAGGGAAGUGGAACUCCGGGAGUAGCGGUGAAAUGCGUAGAGACCCGGAGGAACACCAGUGGCGAAGGCGGCUUCCUGGUCUGCGACUGACGCUGUGGCGCGAAAGCUAGGGGAGCAAACGGG